rnacentral:rRNA from 1 species
CCUACGGGAGGCAGCAGUGAGGAAUAUUGGUCAAUGGGCGAGAGCCUGAACCAGCCAAGUCGCGUGAAGGAUGACGGCCCUACGGGUUGUAAACUUCUUUUGUCAGGGAGCAAUUGGGUCCACGCGUGGGCUUAGCGAGAGUACCUGAAGAAAAAGCAUCGGCUAACUCCGUGCCAGCAGCCGCGGUAAUACGGAGGAUGCGAGCGUUAUCCGGAUUUAUUGGGUUUAAAGGGUGCGUAGGCGGAAUAUCAAGUCAGCGGUAAAAAUUCGGGGCUCAACCCCGUCGUGCCGUUGAAACUGAUGUUCUGGAGUGGGCGAGAAGUAUGCGGAAUGCGUGGGGUAGCGGUGAAAUGCAUAGAGAUCACGCAGAACUCCGAUUGCGAAGGCAGCAUACCGGCGCCCAACUGACGCUGAAGCACGAAAGCGUGGGUAUCGAACAGGAUUAGAUACCCUGGUAGUC